GUCUGCGGUCCUGGGCUCUGUUUUGGGCAUUCUGUUCCACGUUCUCUCACAGCUCCCUGGCUCAAAAUGGAGGAGCCUCUUUUCCUUUUGUGCUGCCCAGUCAGUGCGGCCCAAACCGGUUCUACAACACUGCAUCUCUGCAGUGCAGCACAUGCGGGUCCAAUCAAAGCAGAAGCCUCAGUGGCCUACAGUGUGUGUGUCACAGUGGUUUCACUGUCAUAGACCUGGGCUCUCCUCGAGUGCAGUGCUCUGUCUGUAAUGGGACAACCUCACUGGACCAGAGAAGAUGCCUUCAAUGCCUGCAUGGCAGAGGGAACUGUGUGUGUGGACCUGAUCAG